GACAAACAAGGUCGAGUUAAGAUUAGUUUAGUAAAAAAGGGGGUUAGAGAAGCAUAGAUAAAUUAUUAUAGAAAAACUAUAUUUUCUAUAGAGGUGGAAUUUGAUUAGAAAAAGUAAUUUUUUGUUUUCUUAAAUCUUGAAGCCCCGAAAUCUCGACUAAAAACCGGGAUUAGAUACCCCGUUAUUCGAGAUGUAAAUCUUAAUUUAAUAAGAAUAUUUUACUUGAGUAUUACGGGCUCUUAAAUUUAAUAUUUAUUUGAAGCAGCUUAAAACUCAAAAGACUUGGCGGUGCCUUAAAUCCUUCUAGGGGAACCUGUCCUAUAAUUGAUAGUCCACGAUUUAUCUUUCCUUUCUUUGAAUAUUUAGAAUCAGUUUGUAUACCGUCGUCGUCAGAUUACCUCUAAGAGAUAAGAAGUUAUCAAUAAGAUUUGCCACAUUUAGUGAUUGUUGUUUAUUCAACUAUUUGUGAAUGUAGCUUUCUAGACGUCAGAUCAAGGUGCAGCCCAUAGGGGGGAAGAGAUGGGUUACAAUAAUUAAUUAUUAUUACGAAUUUUUUAUUGUAAAAUAAAUUUGAAGGAGGACUUAGAAGUAAUUAAAAAGAAGUAGAGAGUCUUGGUGAAAAUGGCUCUAAGGCGUGC
rnacentral:rRNA from 1 species